rnacentral:lncRNA from 1 species
CACGGCUUUUGUUUAGCUAGCCUACUCCUUCAUGCCUACGGGAAAAAAUAAUGAUGACUUUGCACGACUAGCCUAUAUAUAAAGUAAGGGCUACUGCUAGCGCCUGGACGUCCGGCGCCAGCAACGCGUCUGGACGCCUAGCCCCCCACCCGCGCCAGCAUAGAGAAGAAGAAAAAAAGAAAAGGAAACUCCACCUGCCCCUAAUUAACCAACUACCCCCUGCCCCACUCGCCCCGCACAGAAGACCGUUUCUAGUCCACUCCCUCCCAACUAACUCGCCC